rnacentral:rRNA from 1 species
CCGCACGCGCGCUACACUGAUACGUUCAUCGAGCUUACAACCUUGACCGAGAGGUCUGGGUAAUCUUUUGAAAUCGUAUCGUGCUGGGGAUAGAUUAUUGUAAUUUUUAAUCUUCAACGAGGAAUUCCUAGUAAACGCAAGUCAUCAACUUGCAUUGAUUACGUCCCUGCCCUUUGUACACACCGCCCGU